GAAACUUGGACUUCCACAAAGAAUCUCUCAUCCAUGGGUGAAAUACCAUCAGGACCGACCAACACCUGACAUAUGUUGGGUGGAAGACAAUGAAUGUGACUAGAGGUGAUAAGAACACAAUGGUUGGAAAGAAGAGCAGAAAUGCAAUCCAUUACCAAAAUCUGAACUGCAGAUACAAUCAGAGGGGUCUGGACCGUGAAAGAAACAGGGCUCCAAAUUGCC